rnacentral:rRNA from 1 species
UACGUAGGGUGCAAGCGUUAAUCGGAAUUACUGGGCGUAAAGCGUGCGCAGGCGGUUCGCUAAGACAGAUGUGAAAUCCCCGGGCUUAACCUGGGAACUGCAUUUGUGACUGGCGGGCUAGAGUAUGGCAGAGGGGGGUAGAAUUCCACGUGUAGCAGUGAAAUGCGUAGAGUUGUGGAGGAAUACCGAUGGCGAAGGCAGCCCCCUGGGCCAAUACUGACGCUCAUGCACGAAAGCGUGGGGAGCAAACAGG